rnacentral:lncRNA from 1 species
UGAUUAUCAUAUUUUGUUUCAUGUUCACAAAAGAGACAUGUUACUUGGCUGGGAUGUAUCAAAUGGCGGUGCGCUAGGAAGGCUCUAGUACACACUUUGCCAUGCAGUAGCAACCAUAUGAACAUUUCGAUCUUCGGUAGGGAAAAUCCUUUCCAUAAGAGGGGAGAGUAAGGGAAGUUUCCUGGAUAAAAGAUGUUAUCAAUUAAUUCUUAAUAGUACAAGCACUAGUUUCUUCUCCUCCCCACAUUUUUGUAUCAGUUUUGUUUUCAUAUAGAUUUAUAUCUGCUAGCAGUUGAGUCAAACUCUGUAAUUGUUCCUCUUAUAAUGGUCGUAUAUAUAAGUAUUUUCUAGUAUGGCAUCCACUACCACUGAGCUGAGAUGUACUCCCUCAUAUUUAGCAAGCAUGAUAAAGGUGCUAUGGACAAGGAAAUAGGCGUGGAUGUGUUUGUCAUUGUCAACCCGAUACCAACAAUUAUUCUUCAAAGCAUCUCUAAUUGCAGAAUUUGUGUCAAUGAGAGAAUUUAUGGAUUGUCAUGUUUCUGAAAGAGGUGGAUGAAGUAUUGGUAGGCCAUUGGUGAAGGAAACUUGAUACUUUUUAUUGAUAAGCUCUUGUCAGCCUCCCGAAUUAUUAUCACGUAGCCUCCAUAGCAAUUUCAAUAGCAAUGCCUUGUACUUGCCUUCCAGUGAACUAAUGCCUAAACCUCUUCUAUUCUUUCCCUUGACCACCAUUUGCCAUGCAAC